GGGAAGACCAAAGGGUUCUAAGAAUAACAGGAGAAGUGUGGAAGAAAAUGUGGGAACUUCAGGUACAGCUAGUGUGAUGGAUGACAGUGGACAAAGGGUUCUUAUGAAGAAUAGACUAGACAGGCCAAAGGGUUCCAAGAAUAGCAGGAGAAGUGGUGAAGAAGAUGGGGGAAUUUCAGGUACAGUUAGUGUGAUGGAUGGCAGUAGAGAAGGGUUUCUUAUGAAGAAGAAGAUGCAACUAGGCAGGCCGAAGGG
rnacentral:misc_RNA from 1 species